AAAUAUUCCUAAACGUACUGACAUUAAAAUACACACUUUAAUCAUAAAUAAUCGGUCAAAAAUUGCUUUAGUUGACAUUAAAUUUUAUGGUAAUUUUAAAAAUAAGAAAUAUGUUGAAUGAAGUCCUGGUAGUUCCGAUCAUACGGAUCGUACCGAUCAAUAUCAAUGGCUAUCAGCAGAAGGGCAAAGGAUAAUAGAGUUCCGAGCUUAAGAAGCAUCUUAGUGGUUAUGUGUCUUAUUUAAAACUGUUCGACUAAAUCUUAAAUUUUAAUUUAA